GAGAGAAUCCUAAGGUGAGCGAGAGAACUCUCGUUAAGGAACUCGGCAAAAUGACCCCGUAACUUCGGGAGAAGGGGUGCUCUAUUAGGGUGCAAGCCCGAGAGAGCCGCAGUGAAUAGGCCCAGGCGACUGUUUAGCAAAAACACAGGUCUCUGCAAAACCGUAAGGUGACGUAUAGGGGCUGACGCCUGCCCGGUGCUGGAAGGUUAAGAGGAGUGCUUAGCUUCGGCGAAGGUACGAAUUGAAGCCCCAGUAAACGGCGGCCGUAACUAUAACGGUCCUAAGGUAGCGAAAUUCCUUGUCGGGUAAGUUCCGACCCGCACGAAAGGCGCAACGAUCUGGGCACUGUCUCAACGAGAGACUCGGUGAAAUUAUAGUACCUGUGAAGAUGCAGGUUACCCGCGACAGGACGGAAAGACCCCGUGGAGCUUUACUGCAACCUGAUAUGGAAUGUUUGUACCGCUUGUACAGGAUAGGUAGGAGCCGAAGAGACGUGU
rnacentral:rRNA from 1 species